rnacentral:rRNA from 1 species
UACGUAGGUGGCAAGCGUUGUCCGGAAUUAUUGGGCGUAAAGCGCGCGUAGGUGGUCAUUUAAGUCUGAUGUGAAAGCCCACGGCUCAACCGUGGAGGGUCAUUGGAAACUGGGGGACUUGAGUGCAGGAGAGAAGAGUGGAAUUCCACGUGUAGCGGUGAAAUGCGUAGAGAUGUGGAGGAACACCAGUGGCGAAGGCGACUCUUUGGCCUGUAACUGACACUGAGGCGCGAAAGCGUGGGGAGCAAACAGG